rnacentral:rRNA from 1 species
UCCUACGGGAGGCAGUAGUGGGGAAUCUUGCGCAAUGCGCGAAAGCGUGACGCAGCAACGCCGCGUGGGGGAAGAAGGCCUUCGGGUUGUAAACCCCUUUCAGGAGGGACGAAGGCUCGCCGGUGAAUAGCCGUGCGGGUUGACGGUACCUCCACAAGAAGCUCCGGCUAACUACGUGCCAGCAGCCGCGGUAAUACGUAGGGAGCAAGCGUUGUCCGGAAUCAUUGGGCGUAAAGCGCGCGUAGGUGGCCUCAUAAGUCCGCUGUGAAAGUCAAAGGCUCAACCUUUGAAAGCCGGUGGAUACUGUGGGGCUAGAGUACGGAAGAGGCGAGUGGAAUUCCUGGUGUAGCGGUGGAAUGCGCAGAUAUCAGGAGGAACACCAAUAGCGAAGGCAGCUCGCUGGGACGUUACUGACACUAAGCGCGAA